rnacentral:rRNA from 2 species
UGGGGAAUAUUGCGCAAUGGGGGGAACCCUGACGCAGCAACGCCGCGUGAGUGAAGAAGGUCUUCGGAUCGUAAAACUCUGUCAUAGGGGAAGAAGGAAGUGACGGUACCCUAUGAGGAAGCCCCGGCUAACUACGUGCCAGCAGCCGCGGUAAUACGUAGGGGGCAAGCGUUGUCCGGAAUUACUGGGCGUAAAGGGUGCGUAGGCGGCCGAUUAAGUCAGAUGUGAAAUACCAGGGCUCAACCUUGGGGGUGCAUAUGAAACUGAUUGGCUUGAGUGCAGGAGAGGAAAGUGGAAUUCCUAGUGUAGCGGUGAAAUGCGUAGAGAUUAGGAGGAACACCAGUGGCGAAGGCGACUUUCUGGACUGUAACUGACGCUGAGGCACGAAAGCGUGGGGAGCAAACAGG